GUUUUAUUCUGCUCAUGACUACUUGGGAUAGAGCCUUCACGUUUGGCCCUGACAUCCUGCAGAGGAGACUCUGUCUUCCACUGGCCAUUUAUCAGAAGAAUCACAGGACAGAGAAAGAAUAUUUUAAAUGAGCUCAGGAUGACCUCAGAGUGGAUUAAUGUAUUUGGGAGGACUGAUCAACCUGACAAUCUCACAUUCAUCAGUGUGAAAUCAAUCUGAAAGGGUGCCAAGAGGAUGGUGCCAGACUCUUUUCAGUGGUGCCAGUGACAGGAUGAGGAGCAAUGGCCAUAAACAAAACCACAACGUUUCAUCUCAACAUGAGGAAGAGCUUCUUUCCAUGGAGUGUGGCUGAGCACCGGAGCAGGUGUCCUGGGAAGACAUGGAGUGUCCCUUUCCAGAGAUAUUCCAACCCCACCUGGACACCUGCUCUGGGUUCCUGUGGUUGUGUCUUGGCAGGGGAUUGGAUUGGAUGAUCUCCAGGGGUUCCUUCCGACCCCAACUAUUCUGUGAUUGUGUUUGCUCCACUUCUUUCAGCUCAGCUUGGGUGAAUUUACCUGUGAAAAGUCAGAUCCUGUUAUUUCCAAGUGGGUAAAACAUCCCUGCUCUAGACAACACCCACACACAUAAAACACACCUGAGCCCCUGUUCAGUCCCACAGGGAGGAAUCAGAGCUACUUCUGGGCAGAAUUUCUGCCUUGUGCCAACGCCCAGAGGUGCCUCAUGCUGCACAAGCCUCGUGCAGU